rfam:Glycine soja cultivar W05 scaffold3796_2, whole genome shotgun sequence.
UUUUUAUUGGAUGAUGACAGUCGUAUGUCAUGUUCUGAUUGGAUACCAACUUCAUGAAAGAUGAAAUGUUUUCAUUGACCAAUCAGAACAUGACAUGUGACAAUUAUCAUCC